GAUGAACGCUGGCGGCGUGCCUAAUACAUGCAAGUCGAGCGAACGGACGAGGAGCUUGCUUUUCUGAUGUUAGCGGCGGACGGGUGAGUAACACGUGGAUAACCUACCUAUAAGACUGGGAUAACUUCGGGAAACCGGAGCUAAUACCGGAUAAUAUUUUGAACCGCAUGGUUCAAAAGUGAAAGACGGUUUUGCUGUCACUUAUAGAUGGAUCCGCGCUGCAUUAGCUAGUUGGUAAGGUAACGGCUUACCAAGGCAACGAUGCAUAGCCGACCUGAGAGGGUGAUCGGCCACACUGGAACUGAGACACGGUCCAGACUCCUACGGGAGGCAGCAGUAGGGAAUCUUCCGCAAUGGGCGAAAGCCUGACGGAGCAACGCCGCGUGAGUGAUGAAGGUCUUCGGAUCGUAAAACUCUGUUAUUAGGGAAGAACAUAUGUGUAAGUAACUGUGCGCAUCUUGACGGUACCUAAUCAGAAAGCCACGGCUAACUACGUG
rnacentral:rRNA from 1 species